GGUGACAUUUUUCUUGAUCUUCUCUAGGGAAGACUGAAGAUCAUUCUGGGGUUUGUGGUCUCUCUUUGUUCUAAUAAAUGACUGGAAGGCAUCAAGACACAGAGGCAUGAAAGCAGAGUCCUCUGGAGGUGGGGUCCAGAAGACCCAAACCUGCUACUGCUUCCUGGAUCACUUAGGUGUAUGGCCACAGGGACAAUCCUGAAUAGGACAAGUGGCUGGCAAGGCCUCUGGUCAUUGACAUCCUGGUCACUUGAUGCUCAGGGACAGGAAGCAAGAUGAACCCAAGACUAGGUCAAUGAGCAGGUAACAAAAUACGGCUUCCAUAGGAGACAAGGCUUGGCAAGGGGAGUCCUUAAGGCUCUCAGGAGGCUAAAGUCACAAAGCCAGUCAGCUUGCAUCCUCUUCUGAAGCUCCACUAACGCUCAGUGGUUGCUGGCAGAACUCAACCUCCCUGCAACUGUGGGAUAGAUCCAAGCCACACCUACGACUCAGCAGAAAGUAGAGGACAUUUGUUUUUCUACAUCCCUGUGCCCAGACCAGGAAGGCUGCAAAUGCAACCUGCCAUUGCCAAGAGCCAUCCAUGAAAUCACCGUCCAGUCUCUGCUCCCCCGACUCUGUGAUGUGAUUCUGGAAACACAGCACCUCACAGGCAGAGCCUGAGAGAAACCAGGCUAGAAAACAAGUUCUAAGCAGCAUGUGUGGAGGUGGGGAGUUGGGGGAGGGAAAGAACCCCACAGGUAGGGCCCUGAAGGCCACUGUCCCUCAGCAAUCCUCCUCACCUCUGUGUCCUCAGGAGGAUGUGCCAACCUAAAAUGUACUUGCCUAGAUAAGGCCACCAUUGUGACCACACCCACAGGGGUCUGCAAAGGAGGUGGGCAGGGUUGCCUCUAGCAUCUUGUGGCUAGAAGACUGGGAGGUAGAGGUAGGUGAUAAAGAAAUGCAGAAAGGAUUUUCUGGUCACUGCAAGAGGUUGCAAAAAUGAGCACUUCUUACUCAGUGUGCCACUAAGCAUAUUGAAGUUCCAAGUAAAGCCACUAGAGAUGACCAAAGAGAAUUUCCGGGAUGGUCUGCCUGAGCAGCUAUCACAAACACUACAGACUGGUGGGCUCUAAAAGAGGGAAGUAAGACAGAAGUCUAAGAUCAAAUGCCGACGGUUGGUCCCUUCUGUGCCCAGCCAACUUGACAUUAUAAACCCAGUCAAGAAGAACUUACAAUGUGACCUAGCAGGUUUAGGGCAUCUGGGAAUCAGCAUGGGAACAAGACUAACCUUUUGAAAUUUAGACCCAGGGACCAGGCCCAUGAUAGUAGGUAGUGCACAAAGUGAUUUUGAAAAUAAGGUGGGGUCUGGACAUUGGGGCUUAGGCACUUUAGAGUCGACGAGGUUAUGGAGGCAAAGACAGGCAAUAGACCACAGGUAAGGCAGCUUAGAGAGGCACAGUGACUGGGGCGUUACAGUAAAGCAACAGAGUUACCACAUCGCCUGCAGAAGUCAGCAAGUAUUCAGGGAGCAGAGAUGAGCCUCCCGCUUCCUUCCCCCAGGACAAAUAACCAACUGUAAAGAAUAUUUUACAGGGCAGGGGGUUUUUCACUCCCUCGUGUGGAAUGAAAAUCCCUGGACUGGGUUCACAGUGUCCUUUUGUCGGAUCGUGUUUCAGAUGGCCUGUUUUAGGUCUUGAACUCUCCCUGACACGUUACAUUAUUUUUCUCCAAUUCCUCACUACACUACAUAAAUAAUAAAACAUAGAUGAGGUCCAAGUCUCUAUCCAUCACUCACUCACCAUAGCUUUGUAAAACUGGAGGGAACAUUGCAUCCUCUCAAGGAACUCAGCCCUCCACUGCAUUGGCUUCCACCAUCUUCCUCCAUCCUCCUUCCCGCUAACCCUUUUUAAACAUUUUGUUUGUAUACCAAAACAAUAUGUAUGUAAAAUAUAUAACAUGUUAUAUAUUUUAUAGACAUAUAAUAAAGGAUGUUUAAAAAACCC
rnacentral:lncRNA from 1 species